rnacentral:rRNA from 1 species
UACGGGGGGGAGCAAGCGUUGUUCGGAUUUACUGGGCGUAAAGGGCGCGUAGGCGGCCACCGCAAGUCGACUGUGAAAUCUCCGGGCUUAACCCGGAAAGGUCAGCCGAUACUGCGGGGCUAGAGGUGCAGAAGGGGCAACUGGGAAUUCUCGGUGUAGCGGUGAAAUGCGUAGAUAUCGAGAGGAACACCUGCGGCGAAGGCGGUUUGCUGGGCUGACACUGACGCUGAUGCGCGAAAGCUAGGGGAGCAAAUGGG